rnacentral:rRNA from 1 species
AUUGAACGCUGGCGGCAGGCCUAACACAUGCAAGUCGAACGAGUGGCGGACGGGUGAGUAAUGUCUGGGAAACUGCCUGAUGGAGGGGGAUAACUACUGGAAACGGUAGCUAAUACCGCAUACCAUCAGAUGUACCCAGAUGGGAGUAGCUAGUAGGUGGGGUAACGGCUCACCUGGGCGACGAUCCCUAGCUGGUCUGAGAGGAUGACCAGCCACACUGGAGCUGAGACACGGUCCAGGCUCCUACGGGAGGCCGCAGUGGGGAAUAUUGGACAAUGGGCGGAAGCAUGAUGCAGCCAUGCCGCGUGUAUGAAGAAGGCGUUCGGGUUGUAAAGUACUUUCAGCGGUGAGGCGUUACCCGCAGAAGAAGCACCGGCUAACUCCGUGCCAGCAGCCGCGGUAAUUC